rnacentral:rRNA from 1 species
CGCAAGGUUUAGCCAAUCCCACAAAUCUGUUCUCAGUUCGGAUCGCAGUCUGCAACUCGACUGCGUGAAGCUGGAAUCGCUAGUAAUCGCGGAUCAGCAUGCCGCGGUGAAUACGUUCCCGGGCCUUGUACACACCGCCCGUCACACCACGAGAGUUUGCAACACCCGAAGUCGGUGAGGUAACCUUUAUGGAGCCAGCCGCCGAAGGUGGGGCAGAUGAUUGGGGUGAAGUCGUAACAAGGUAGCCGUAUCGGAAGGUGCGGCUGGAUCACCUCCUUU